AACGAACUCUGGUAUUGAUUGGUGCUUGCAUCAUGAUUUACAUUUGAGUGAGUGGCGAACUGGUGAGUAACACGUGGGAAACCUGCCCAGAAGCGGGGGAUAACACCUGGAAACAGAUGCUAAUACCGCAUAACAACUUGGACCGCAUGGUCCGAGCUUGAAAGAUGGCUUCAGCUAUCACUUUUGGAUGGUCCCGCGGCGUAUUAGCUAGAUGGUGGGGUAACGGCUCACCAUGGCAAUGAUACGUAGCCGACCUGAGAGGGUAAUCGGCCACAUUGGGACUGAGACACGGCCCAAACUCCUACGGGAGGCAGCAGUAGGGAAUCUUCCACAAUGGACGAAAGUCUGAUGGAGCAACGCCGCGUGAGUGAAGAAGGGUUUCGGCUCGUAAAACUCUGUUGUUAAAGAAGAACAUAUCUGAGAGUAACUGUUCAGGUAUUGACGGUAUUUAACCAGAAAGCCACGGCUAACUACGUGCCAGCAGCCGCGGUAAUACGUAGGUGGCAAGCGUUGUCCGGAUUUAUUGGGCGUAAAGCGAGCGCAGGCGGUUUUUUAAGUCUGAUGUGAAAGCCUUCGGCUCAACCGAAGAAGUGCAUCGGAAACUGGGAAACUUGAGUGCAGAAGAGGACAGUGGAACUCCAUGUGUAGCGGUGAAAUGCGUAGAUAUAUGGAAGAACACCAGUGGCGAAGGCGGCUGUCUGGUCUGUAACUGACGCUGAGGCUCGAAAGUAUGGGUAGCAAACAGGAUUAGAUACCCUGGUAGUCCAUACCGUAAACGAUGAAUGCUAAGUGUUGGAGGGUUUCCGCCCUUCAGUGCUGCAGCUAACGCAUUAAGCAUUCCGCCUGGGGAGUACGGCCGCAAGGCUGAAACUCAAAGGAAUUGACGGGGGCCCGCACAAGCGGUGGAGCAUGUGGUUUAAUUCGAAGCUACGCGAAGAACCUUACCAGGUCUUGACAUACUAUGCAAAUCUAAGAGAUUAGACGUUCCCUUCGGGGACAUGGAUACAGGUGGUGCAUGGUUGUCGUCAGCUCGUGUCGUGAGAUGUUGGGUUAAGUCCCGCAACGAGCGCAACCCUUAUUAUCAGUUGCCAGCAUUAAGUUGGGCACUCUGGUGAGACUGCCGGUGACAAACCGGAGGAAGGUGGGGAUGACGUCAAAUCAUCAUGCCCCUUAUGACCUGGGCUACACACGUGCUACAAUGGAUGGUACAACGAGUUGCGAACUCGCGAGAGUAAGCUAAUCUCUUAAAGCCAUUCUCAGUUCGGAUUGUAGGCUGCAACUCGCCUACAUGAAGUCGGAAUCGCUAGUAAUCGCGGAUCAGCAUGCCGCGGUGAAUACGUUCCCGGGCCUUGUACACACCGCCCGUCACACCAUGAGAGUUUGUAACACCCAAAGUCGGUGGGGUAACCUUU
rnacentral:rRNA from 1 species